rnacentral:rRNA from 1 species
CCUACGGGAGGCAGCAGUGGGGAAUAUUGGACAAUGGGCGAAAGCCUGAUCCAGCCAUGCCGCGUGUGUGAAGAAGGCCUUCGGGUUGUAAAGCACUUUCAGUGGGGAAGAAAGCCUUGGGGCUAAUACCCUCGAGGAAGGACAUCACCCACAGAAGAAGCACCGGCUAACUCCGUGCCAGCAGCCGCGGUAAUACGGAGGGUGCGAGCGUUAAUCGGAAUUACUGGGCGUGAAGCGCGCGUAGGCGGUCUGAUAAGCCGGUUGUGAAAGCCCCGGGCUCAACCUGGGAACGGCAUCCGGAACUGUCAGGCUAGAGUGCAGGAGAGGAAGGUAGAAUUCCCGGUGUAGCGGUGAAAUGCGUAGAGAUCGGGAGGAAUACCAGUGGCGAAGGCGGCCUUCUGGACUGACACUGACGCUGAGGUGCGAAAGCGUGGGUAGCAAACAGGAUUAGAUACCCCGGUC